GACCUGGUUUGAUCCUCAGGACCCACUGGGUGGAAGGAGAGAACCGAUUUCCACAAGUUCCUCUGAUCUCCACAGGUAGUGGCAUGCACAAACUAUACCCCCAGACACAGAAUAGAAACAUGGAACAUUUUCUUUUGGAAAAGGAGAAAUGUGAGCUAUUUGUCAGGGAUAACAGUAGCCAUGGCAAGAGCAGCUCUCAUGAUCGUUGGGGCAGACUUCCUCAAAGCAGACACCAGUAUUCCCACCGCAUAGAGAGCUUUAGGGGAUUUGAGCAAAGCAGGAGUUAGCCAGGAGUCUGAUACAGACUUAUCUGGCCCUAGAGUUCACUUUGCACCACAGUUCCAACUCUGGUGGAGACUUACAGAUAAUUCCCUAUAAAUAUAGGGAAUUUAUAGAGAGACCUAUCGAGGUCAUAGCAUGCCCAGUGAUGUGUACAGAAACUGCUCCCCAUUGGUGAGUGGGCUGUUUCAUCCUCUAUGAUGCCCUCAGCCAUCUGUGACCGGGAGAGGUGACAUCAGAGAGACUGACUGUCAAUCUGUGCCCAGGAAGCACAGGUAAGUUCAGAGUGUUUCGGGAGCUCUGCCUUCCAGACAGAACUCUGACAGUGUCACGUUCUGAGCUGUUUAACUGUUUCUCAAAGUCCUUGGCAGCUGGCCCUUGUGAAGGAGGCAACCUGCAACAAGCCCCACUGGCUUUCCUCUUCAAUCCAUCGCUGCUGACUGACAGAUAUUGAAAAUGGGCCAAGAAAAUAUUAAAGUGUUGGAGAGUGACUUGUCAGAAGAGAGGGAGAAGAGACAGCACCUGACGUCAGCUUUCACUGCUAUUCAGAAGUCCUUGCAAGUGAAUAGUGAGGAAUUCCAAAACUCAAAGUCAGAACUCCUGUGCCUUUAUAAGGAAAUUCAGAGUCUUCCAAGGGCUGAGGGCAGAGAGCAAUUUUUAGUAGCUUAUAACCUGCUACUGAGAGAGAAUUCUGAAUUAGAAGCCAAGGUCUCAAAGCUUGCACAAGAGCUGGAACUGUUAAAACAUUGCUCUGUAGGGGACAGAACUGCUAAUUUGAUGACGAGUGAAAACGCCUGUGAAGACCUGGUGUCUAAAGGGCCACUUUUGGAAGUGGAGGCUGUGAGCCCCAGUGAGGACAGACAGGCUCUCUGUUCUGAAUUAGGAGAAAGUAAACAGGAGGAAACGCCAGACGAGUCAGUGAAGGCGGCCACUUUCCCCAGAGAGAGGCAGGAGUCACAGCAGAUGCGAGGCCAUGAACAGCCAUUGGCCGUGGAGCCCAAGGAAGUUGGGAGGCUUGAAGAAGAGGCGAGCCUCCAGUCUCAGAGCUGUGGUGGUAGUUCAGAUGACAGCAGCACCAAGGUAUGUGCUGCAGACACACGCUCUGGGGCCCAUCCUUCUGACUAGCCCUGGAUUUAAGCAUCAUUUUUUGUUUGGUUGUGGUUUUUUGUUUUUUCUUUUUGAAACCUUCUUAAAGUUUCUUAUACAACGUUACAACUUGAGCGGUAAUAAAAUUACAACCAAAGCCUGAACCUGCUGAUUCAGUUUAUUAUUGAAGGUUUGUUUGUUUGUUUGUUUUUGUUUUUUAAUUGGCUUCAGAGAGAUUGUUUUAAAUAAGGCCCUGUCUAUUUGCUAUUUACUGCAGCUCUGCCUGUAGAGAGUUAAGACUAUUGAUUGUAUUUGCGAGUAAACCACCUUCCAAGUUUAAAGGGCUGAUAAGAUGCCAGGUGUUCUCCUGCUAUUCCAGAAUUUGAGAGGUAGAGGCAGGAGGAUCAAGAGUCACCCUUUGUUACAUAAUGAAGUUGAGUGAGGCCAGCCAGGGCUGUAAGUGACUCUGUCUCAAAAAAAAAAAAAAAAAAAGUUGAGAAGUAGGUCAAGAAUGUACUUUCGGGAAAGGAGGGCUGGAGAGCUGACUCAGCAGUUCAGAGUGAGCUCUGCUCUUACAGAGAACCUGAAUUCGAUGCCCAGAACCCACAACUGCUUGUAACUCAAAGGGGUUUUAACAUCUCUGGUCUCUCUGAGAGUACCCAAAGUCACAUGCUCAGACAGACACACACACACAGUGAGUGAGAGAGAGAGAGAAAGAGGGAGAGAGAGAGAGACCUUUAAUUUUACUAUCUAUCAAUUUAUUUAUUUUGAGACAAUGUUUCACUGUGUAAUCCUGGCUGGUCUUGGAACUCUAUCCAGGCCGGGCUGAAUCACAGAGAUCUGCAUGUCUCUCCAGAGUGCUAGGAUUAAAGGCAUGGGAUACCAUAAGCAGCCAAAAAUAUCUUCUUUUUUUUUUUUAAUGUAAGUCAAGGGCUGGAGAUGUAAGCAUGCCCUGGAUGGAAUCCAGCAUGGGAAGGGAGAAGGAGGAAGUAAACAGAUUUGGAAGUAGAAUUUAAAAGUUGAAGAAGCCAUAGUAAUGAAAAUAUAACCAGGCUUGAUGCCUCGUGACUAUACCCCGGCACUUCUCAAACUGUGGGUCGAAACGAUCAGAAAAUGCAUCAGAAACGUAGUCUCCUGUCUAACCCAUGGGAGACUGAAGAGGGAGGGACCACACAGUAGUUCAAAGACAGCUUGUGCUGCAGAAUGAGAUAGAGGGAAGAGAGAGAGAAAGAGAGAGAGAGAGAGAGAGAGAGAGAGGAGAGAGGGGAGAGAGAGAUAUUAUACUAGAGCACACACACAAGGAGAGUAAGGAGAGUCACACCUUGUUUGGCUCAAAAGCCCAAAGAAGAGCAUGACUUCAAAUGCCCAACAAGAACUCACAUUGUCAUUAGGGGACCCCCCCACACACUUCUUGGACACUGGGCCAGAGCAGCUGGCUUGGGAAGAUGUGAAAAGAGAAACCUAACAAUUACAAAGUCAUCGUUGUUGUUUGGGGUUCUGUUGGUGGUGAUUUGUCUGGUUUGGGGGUCAGGGUAUUGCUUUGCAGCCAGACUGGACUAAAAAUUCAGAAUGUAGCCCAGGCUGGCCUCACUCCUGACUGAUGGGAUUGCAGGUAUGUGCUACCAUGCUCAGCUAAGAGUAUAAAAUUUUGCCUACAUGUAACGUCUAAAAAGUGAUUCCUGGCUAAUUUGCUAGUCUAAUAUUUCUUCCCCAUUUGUUUGAAGCUCUUGUUAGUCAAUGCCUAAAGCCAAAGCCCCAAACUGGGAAGAGGUGGAGGGAGGCUGGCGGACAGGUUGAAGGGCAAGGAAUGCAGGUGGGUAGAUCAAAACACAUUAUGCGGAUGCAUGACAUUCUCAAACAACAAAACAAAGAACACCCCCACAGCAAUGACAAAAAGCAAGUUUGGCUGAAAAACAUGCAAAAAUCCUAAGGAAGUUUCUCGUGUAGUCACUUUGUGGAAGGGCAAAUAGUUCUACAGCCACACAGCCUCUUGGGGCCUCAGGAAAUUCUAGUGUGGCUCAGUACAUUUUUCUUCCCCUAAUGACCGUGAGUUAUUGAAAAAAAAGAGUUGUUCUUAUUUAUUCAACCAAAAUGAAUUACCUGGAUGCAAUGAAUAAGGUAGAUGGGGCUCGUGCAUGCGUUUGGUCCAACUAGAUGGCUCAUGGUCCAGCAGAUCUCCACUUCCCACCUCUUGAUGCUAACUUUCUCAAAACUCAAAAGACUAUCAGUGUGGAGGUGACACUACAGAGUGCUGACGAUUACCCCAAGUUGAAAAGUUCCGUAUCAGGAUGUGUGAGCGCGGAGCCCACUCAGAUUACCCAAGCAAAGCAUAGGGACCACCCCAAGCUAUCAUCAUCUGCCUGCUCGUAUUUGUUAUCCCAGAGUUGUGUGACAUGCGUGCAUGCAUUAGAGAAGCUCGGUGUCUUAAUAGGAUCUAGAGAGCUGUAGCACCUCUAUAAGCAAGAUUAGGAUCUAAGCCCACCUUACUGCAGCUUUAAAACUGACACUAGCUCCCACACCACCCCUCUGUCCAUGAAGUUGGUGGUGCUGGAUAGUGGGGGGAUGUAUUGAUGUCUCUGUUGGCAGCCGGGCAAGGCUGCAAACUCACUUUUGGCCCGAGAGCUCCGUCCUUGUUCUCCAAGGCUGUUUCUCUCAUGUCUCUCCCAGAGAGAUAUGUGGCAUACACAUAGACAUGCACAUGCAUGCACACACACAUGUACACAUAAACUUAUACAUAGACCACACACACACACACACACACACCAUAACAUUAUUCUACGUACAGUAUUUGUAUGGAAGAGUUUAUAACUUAAAGUUGUGCAUUUAGCUUAGGUUGUAAAAAUUCAUUGCAUGGGAAACCCAAGGCUUAGUAUGGUUGGUUAUAUUGUUCUCUUAAAAGCAGAGUAAACAAGCCAGGCAUGGUGGCACACGCCUUUAAUCCCAGCACUCGGGAGGCAGAGACAGGCAGAUUUCUGAGUUCGAAGCCAGCCUGGUCUACAAAGUGAGUUCCAGGAUAUCUGGUGCUAUACAGAAAAACCCUGUCUCAAAAAACCAAAAAAAAAAAAAAAAAAAGCAGAGUAAACUUAGACUGAGUACACAGUAGGACAGCAGGCUAAGCGCAUAGUAUUAUUAAAGUAUCUCCAGACACACAAUUUACUUGGCUGCAAGAUCAGACAAAAAGCAUCUAACAUCUCUGAAAGCAGGAGAUGUUAGAAAACACAACACCAUGCAAUCCAUCCCUCAGGUAGAAUGCUUUGAAUGCCUCAGGGCAGGACCAAGCUGUCAGUUAAAGCUAGGCCACUCCCACUUACAUCACACCCGAUUUCCUUUAUUGCCCCUGCUCAAGACAAUCACUAAUCUACUUUCUGUCCAUCAUGGGUUUGUCUGUUCUGGGUCUUCCCAAUAUCUUUAGAAUCAUUUACCAGAAGACCUUUUAUGACUGAUGUGUUUCGUGUCACUGUUUUCAAAGUUUGUUCAAGGUGGUGCUAUGUGUCAGUAUUCACUGUUCGUUUUAGGCUGAUGACGUUUCUAUGGCUAGGCCACAUUUAACAUUAGUUGUUGACUGUUUGAUCCUAUCCGUCUCAUGCUUUGUUUGGGGUCUGGAGGCUGCUUAUUGUUUGUCGUUAUUUGUGAGUCAGCGUCUCUUUAGAGCCUCAGCUGGCUGGCCCCCACCAGCAGAGCCUCCUGACUCAGUCUCCCUAGCACCAGGACUCCACACGCAUGCAGCCAUUCCAAAUCCUGGUGUGUUUCUAAUGCCAUCAUUAGCAUCAAAAUAAAAUCACUGGGGCAUACAAAUACUGUACAUGGUCUCAGUUUUUCCUUUUCAUAUUUGCCAAAACUAUUAUUGUCUUGUUUUUUAAAAUAUAGUCAUUUUAAUCCCUGUCAUAUUUUCAUUGUGGCUUUGAUUUUUAUUUUCCUAAUGAGUAUAAUGACAUGAUGGAUUUUAAAAUGUUUUUACAGUCUCUUACAUAUUGUCAUUAGAGAAAUGUCUAGUUUACUCCUUUCCCUAGUUUUAAUUGGACUAUAUUUGUUUUGUCUUGUUGAGUUGUAAAAGUUUAUUAUUUAUUCUUAUUUAUUAUAUACCUUAUUAGAUAUUUGAUACCCAAAUAUUAUAGCCCCUCAAUGGGCUGUCUCUUCAUUUUCCUGUCACUGCCCAUUGAUACACAUAUGUUUUUAUUAUGUAAACACCCAUUUAUGAGGUUUUUCUUUUCAUGCGUGUGUGUGUGUGUGUGUGUGUGUGUGUGUGUGUGUGUUGUAUGUAUUCUUGUUUGCUUCCUUGGGAGUACAGGCACCUAUGUCUGCAUGUCCGCAUGUACACGUGGAGGCCGCAGGUUGAUGUUGGGUGUCAUCCUUUAUCAGUCUUCCACCUUAUCUUUGAGGCAGGGUCUCUCAAUCAAACCCAGAGGUGGCUGAUAGGGUUCUUCUAACUAAUCAGCUUGUUCAAAGGAUCGUCUGCCUCUGCCUUCCAAGGAAAGGAUUACAAGCAGACUGCCACUUCCAUCCACCCAGCCUGCAUUUGCCGUGAGUUUGCAGGCCCUGACCUCUGGUUACCUUGCUUGCAUAGCAAGUGCUUCAACCUCUGAGACAUCUCCCAGACACUGCCCCCCAUUUACAAUUGUUUGCUUGCUUGUUGGUUGCUCUGUGUAGCCCUGCCUGUCCUGGGACUCACUCUGUAGACCAGGCUAGCCUUGAACUCAGAGAUCUGCCUGCUUCUGCCUCCUGAGUGUUGGGAUUAAGUGUUCAAUACCACAUCCAGCACCAUUUGGUUUUUUGUUGUUGUUGUUGGGUUGGGUUUUUGUUUGUUUGUUUUUGAUUUUUGUUUUGUUUUGGUCUUUUGAAACAGGGUUUCUCUGUGUAAUACUGGCUAUCCUGGACUUGCUUUGUAGACCAGGCCGGCCUCAAACUCACAGAGAUCCACCCGACUCUGCCUCCUGAGGGCUGGGGCUAAAGAUGUGCACCACCACGCCCAGAUCCAUUUACACUUUUUUAAUGUUUGUCUCAUGAUCUUAUCUAAAUGAGCAUGAGAAGGCUUUGCUCUCAUGUUUCUUCUGAGACUAUUUUUAUUUUUUUACCUUUAUAAUUAAAUCUUGGAUCCAGUUUCAAAUACUGUGUGUUACAAGAAAGGGUCCACCUUCGUCUUGUAUGCAAAAUAUCCAGUUGUGCCACUAAUAUGUAUUGAAAGGAAAACCCCUCUUUCUUAGUCAUAAAAGAGAAAAAAAAGAUCUGUGGAGCUCGUGAAAGGUUGAUUAUUUCUAUUUGAACUCUGUUUCCCACGUCAGCUGUUGCACACAGUCUUUCUUCAGUGUGUGUGUUUGUGUAUUUGCCUGCAUGCAUGACUGUGCACCAGUCACACUCAGUGCCUGAAGAGGCCACAAGAGGGUGUUGGACCUCCUAGGAUUGGAGUUACAGACAGUUGUGAACACCAUGUUGAGGCUGGGAAUUGAACCUGGGUCCUCUUAACCAUUGAGCCAUCUCUCUAGCCCCAUGAUUGCAUGGCAAAGAAGCAGGUAAGCGAGUAGAGUUUGGACAAUUUCUGUCCUGUUCUGUGCACUGGUGACUAUUUCAUUCUCUCUCUCUCUCUCUCUCUCUCUCUCUCUCUCUCUCUCUCUCUCUCUCUCUCUCUCUCUCCCUGUGUGUGUGUGUGUGUGCUGUUCUUCACCCCUGAUGCCAGAUGGUAGUAUCUAGUAAGGCUAGUAAGGUGCUAUAUUAGCUUAAUCAUCUUCUUUUAUUUUUAAGAUUUAUUUUAUUAUAUGAGUGCACUAUAGCUGUCUUCAGACACGCCAGAAGAGGGCAUUAGAUCCCAUUACAGAUGGUUGUGAGCCACCACGUGGUUGCUGGGAAUUGGACCUUUGGAAGAGCAGUCAGGACUCUUAAACACUGAGCCAUCUCUCCAGCCCCCCUAGCUUAAUCUUACUAAAUGUACAAUUUUAACAACAGACAAGCCAGAUGCCAGACCUUUCCGAAUGCUUAUAAAUAGGGAAAGAAUCGUGGUAGCCUCUCACACGGGCAAGAAUGAGCGUUUAUCAGUCAGAAGUAUUUUGUGAUGUCAGCUGUGGGUGCUGAUGAUCUGGUUAACACUAGUCCAGGUGAGGUUUCUUUUUUUUACUGUUCUUGAACCAAGUUGUAAGCAGAAUUAGCUUGGUAGGCUUAAAAUGUUUUUCUAGCAUUUUGGGUAUAUUGCUGUGCUGUGGGUACUGCACUAAACCGGUUACCCAUGUUCAUUAAGUGACAUAAUGGAGUAGGAAUAUAAUCUGUCCAUCUUAUUGUGGAAAAACAGAGGCCUUAGUUAGGAACAAGGUAGAUGGUAUUUGCCCACAUCGCAGAAGUGAUUAAACCCAGGUCAACAGCCUAUAGAGCAGUAGUUCUCAACCUGUGGGUCUCGGCCCACUUGGAAGUUGAGCAACCUUUUCACAGAGUUACCCUAACCUAAGACCAUCAGAAAACACAGAUGUUACAUUACAAGUCAUAGCAGUAGCAUAAUAACAGGAAGUAGCAGUGAAAAUGAUUUUAUAGCUGGGGUCACACACAUGAGGAAGAUAGUAAAGGGUCACAGCCUUUGGAAGGUUGAGAACUACUGCCCACCUAGAGCUUGAUCCUGCUGCUUCCCAGAUUGCUUCCCUCCGCUAACAGCCCCCAGAAAGCAAGCAGCUCUCACCCUGUCCCAAGGAAGAAUAGCGAACUGGCUCCCCAGAGCCCUUCUUGGUUGGUAUUUAAUCCUUAUUUUAUGAAUUCUCUUUAGCUGGGCUAGUGAAAUGUCAGUAACUCCUGAGAGUUGUCCUCUGAUUGCCACACAUACACUGUGGCAUGCAUACAUACACAUGUGCACACGCACGCACACACGCACGCACAUACAUACACAUGCGCACACACACAAAUGUAGCACACAUACACACACACAGGCACACACACAAAUGUAAUACACACACUGGCACACACACACAGGCACACACACACACAGGCACACACACAAAUGUAACACAUAUACACACACACACAGGCACACACACAAAUGUAACACAUACAUGCACACAGGCACACACAAAUGUAAUAUACACACUGGCACACACACAGGCACACAUACAAAUGUAACAUAUAUAUACACACAGGCACACACACAAAUGUAACACACAUACACACACACAAGCACACACACAAAUGUAAUACACACACUGGUACACAGGCACACACACAAACACAUACAAAUGUUUAUACAGGCACACACAGGCACACAUACAAAUGUAGCACACAUGCAUGCACACAGGCACACACACAAAUGUAAUAUACACACUGGCACACACACAGGCACACACAAAUGUAACACAUAUACACACACAGGCUCACACACAAAUGUAACACACACACACAGGCACACACACAAAUGUAACACACACACACAGGCACACACACAAAUGUAACACACAUGCACACAGGCACACACACAAAUGUAAUACAUACAUACAGGCACACACACAAAUGUAAUAAAAUUUUAAAAACUAAAUGUGGGGCUGGAGAGUUGGCUCAGCUAUUAAGAGCACUGUCUGCUCUUCCAGAAGUCCCAGGUUUAAUUCCCAGCAACCACAACUAUCUGUAUCUCCAGUUAUAGGGGACCUGACACUUUUUUGGCCUCCACAGGCACCAAGCACACAAGGGGUAUACAGGCAUACAUGCAGGCCAUAAAUAUAAAACAAUUUUAAACUGUUUUUAGAAAACUAGAAAAUAAUGUGGGUUCCUGGUUUUCGUUAUUAAAGGAUUUUGUAGUUCUGAGACUCAAAAGGGAGUGUUUUACUUUAAAAAUCCUCUAUUUUGUUUGCCUUUCAUUGAUUUUAGAAUUUGAAAGGUUAAUUGACGGCGCACAGCUGCUUUUGUUCCCAUGAUUCACUGGCCUUUGCACGCCAGUGUAGAGAAGCUUCUGAUUACAGGAGCACCACCAUGCACGGUGUAGAAGCAUCGUUUGUUGUAGGUGACGGAACUAACUCCGGAAGCCCUCGUCCGUGAGCCCCCAGAUCCCCACACACCGCCGGCGGUGCUCUCUCAAGCGCCUUUCUCUCUUACAAUGUUUGCCUCAGUAUCUAACAUCUGGAGAGAAAACAAGCUGCCAGCACCAAGGGGAACUGCGGGAACUGCGGCAGAACCUGCGCCGCCUGCAGAUCCUGUGCAACUCGGCUGAGAAGGAGCUGCGGUACGAGCGGGGCCGGAGCCUGGACUUGAAACAACAUAACAGUUUGCUCCAGGAGGAGAACAUCAAGAUCAAAAUUGAACUCAAGCAGGCCCAGGAGAAGUUGCUGGACAACGCCAGGCUGCACUCCUCGCUCACUGCGGAGUGGAAGCACUGUCAGCAGAAAGUCAAGGAGCUCGAGCUGGAGGGGCUUAGGCAGACGCAGAGCCUUAAAUCCCAGCAGGGCCUACAGGAAAAGCUGGCGCGGGAGAAAUCCAAAGCAGCAGAAGCACAGGAAAAGAUUUUGGACCUGCAGCAAAAGCUAGACCACGGAAGACAAGUCUGCCUCUCAGAUGUUUGCAUUUUGCGUAAGAAGCAACUUGAGGAAGAGAUUAAGGAAGCAAAGAGCAUCGAGGCCAGGCUGCAGCAGCAGUGCCAGGAGGAGCAGCAGAGGAGGAUCCUCCUAGACCAGGACAUAAAUGAGCUCCAGACACAAGUGAGAGCCUUGCAGGAUAAGGAGGAACAACAGGAAGCAGUCAAUUCCCAGCAACAAGAGGCCCUACGAAAACAACUGGAGAGGGAGAGGAGAAAGUGUGAAGAGUAUGUCAAGAGCAACCAGGAAUUGUCAGAGAAACUAUCUAACUUGCAGCAAGAAAAGGAAGCUCUAUGGCAAGAACACGGGCGGUUUUUGGAGCAACUUGGUGAUCAUGUGAGAAACUACAAAGACAAACACCACUGUCACAAAGCCAAGCUUCAAAAGGUCAAGGACCGUCUAACUCACGAGCUAGAGAUACGGAAUAAGAGGAUUAAAGAACUUGAAGAUGAAACUGGAAAACUGCAACAGAAAAUUGAAAUGGAGAAAGUGUUCCAGGGUCAGAUCAUGGCCCAGAAUGACAUCCUCCUCCUGGAAAAGAGGAAGCUUCUGGAACAAGUCACAGAUCAAGAAGAACUGAUUUGCAGCAGCAAGUGCACGAUAUCUGCCUUCCAGAGCAAGGCGUCUUUACUGGAUAAAGAAAACCAGCAGUUGCAGGAGAACUGCCUCCGGCUCAUGCAGCAAAUUGGCCUCUUGGAACAAAUUAUAAGGAGCAUCCAGAUUCGCAGAGAAGAGGAAACAGUAAUUACUGACAACGCUGCAUUUGAAAUACUCAAAAAGAUACUACCUUUACAAAACUCCAGUUUCUCAGGGACAGGCUUCGUAUUGUCAGCUGAAAAUCUCCAGGAGACUGAGCUGCACAAAUGGGAAGGCGCAGCAGCAAUCCCCAAGUCCCCCGAGCCUCUUUCACGUUCACAGGAUUCAGAAAGUGGAUAUAUAAAUGUGACUUCUCUAAAAGAGACACACAACACACAAGGGGACCAAAAGCCAGAACUAUGACCUCACUGGUAGCUACAAGACUAUUCAUGCCUACUAACUCAGAGCCUGGAUACAAAGGUGCAAACCGAGCAGGAGCAGUCUCACAGAACACCCUGGACAUCAACAAGGAUUCCUCAAAAUCGCUUAUUAAACAGCCAUUAAAAUUUUUCAAAGAUGUAA